GUUAAUAAAGUUGUGUGUUUGUACAGUGUUAAUAAAGUUGUGUGUUUGUACAGUGUUAAUAAAGUUGUGUUUGUACAGUGUUAAUAAAGUUGUGUGUCUGUACAGUGUUAAUAAAGUUGUGUGUCUGUACAGUGUUAAUAAAGUUGUGUGUUUGUACAGUGAUAAUAAAGUUGUGUGUUUGUACAGUGAUAAUAAAGUUGUGUGUUUGUACAGUGAUAAUAAAGUUGUGUGUUUGUACAGUGUUAAUAAAGUUGUGUUUGUACAGUGAUAAUAAAGUUGUGUUUGUACAGUGUUAAUAAAGUUGUGUGUUUGUACAGUGUUAAUAAAGUUGUGUUUGUACAGUGUUAAUAAAGUUGUGUGUUUGUACAGUGUUAAUAAAGUUGUGUUUGUACAGUGAUAAUAAAGUUGUGUGUUUGUACAGUGUUAAUAAAGUUUUGUGUUUGUACAGUGAUAAUAAAGUUGUGUUUGUACAGUGUUAAUAAAGUUUUGUGUUUGUACAGUGUUAAUAAAGUUGUGUGUUUGUACAGUGUUAAUAAAGUUGUGUGUGUUCCUAUAUGAAAGUGUUCGCUGUGGUCUGUG